AUUGAACGCUGGCGGCAGGCCUAACACAUGCAAGUCGAACGAGGGGCGGACGGGAGAGUAAUGUCUGGGAAACCGCGUGAGGGAGGGGGAAAACCACUGGACACUAUAUCUUAUCGCACAUACUAUCGGAUGUGCACAGAUGGGAUUAGCGAGUAGGGGGGGUAAAGGCUCACGUAGGCGACGAUCCCUAGCUGGUCUGAGAGGAUGACCAGCCACACUGGAACUGAGACACGGGCCAGACUCCUACGGGAGGCAGCAGUGGGGAAUAUUGCACAAUGGGCGCAAGCCUGAUGCAGCCAUGCCGCGUGUAUGAAGAAGGCCUUCGGGUUGUAAAGUACUUUCAGCGAGGAGGCGUUACUCGCAGAAGAAGCACCGGCUAACUCCGUGCCAGCAGCCGCGGUAAUUC
rnacentral:rRNA from 1 species